rnacentral:rRNA from 1 species
GACGAACGCUGGCGGCGUGCCUAAUACAUGCAAGUAGAACGCUGAAGAGAGGAGCUUACUCUUCUUGGAUGAGUUGCGAACGGGUGAGUAACGCGUAGGUAACCUGCCUUGUAGCGGGGGAUAACUAUUGGAAACGAUAGCUAAUACCGCAUAACAAUGGAUGACACAUGUCAUUUAUUUGAAAGGGGCAAUUGCUCCACUACAAGAUGGACCUGCGUUGUAUUAGCUAGUAGGUGAGGUAAUGGCUCACCUAGGCGACGAUACAUAGCCGACCUGAGAGGGUGAUCGGCCACACUGGGACUGAGACACGGCCCAGACUCCUACGGGAGGCAGCAGUAGGGAAUCUUCGGCAAUGGGGGCAACCCUGACCGAGCAACGCCGCGUGAGUGAAGAAGGGUUUCGGAUCGUAAAGCUCUGUUGUAAGUCAAGAACGGGUGUGGGAGUGGAAAGUUCACACUGUGACGGUAGCUUACCAGAAAGGGACGGCUAACUACGUG